rnacentral:rRNA from 1 species
GACGAACGCUGGCGGCGUGCUUAACACAUGCAAGUCGAGCGGUAAGGCCCUUUCGGGGGUACACGAGCGGCGAACGGGUGAGUAACACGUGGGUGACCUGCCCUCAGCUCUGGGAUAAGCCUGGGAAACUGGGUCUAAUACUGGAUAUGACUCCACGGUGCAUGUCGUGGGGUGGAAAGCCUUGUGCGGCUGAGGAUGGGCCCGCGGCCUAUCAGCUAGUUGGUGGGGUAAAAGCCUACCAAGGCGGCGACGGGUAGCUGGUCUGAGAGGAUGAUCAGCCACACUGGGACUGAGACACGGCCCAGACUCCUACGGGAGGCAGCAGUGGGGAAUAUUGGACAAUGGGCGAAAGCCUGAUCCAGCAAUGCCGCGUGUGUGAAG